rnacentral:rRNA from 1 species
GACGUAGGAGACGAGCGUUGUCCGGAUUUACUGGGCGUAAAGCGCGCGCAGGCGGCCCCGCAGGUCGGUUGUGAAAGCCCCCGGCUCAACCGGGCGGAGGCGAGCGAAACCGCGGGGCUGGAGGCUGGCAGAGGGUGGUGGAAUUCCCGGUGUAGUGGUGAAAUGCGUAGAUAUCUGGAAGAACACCAAAGGCGAAGGCAGUGUCCUGGGUGGUCGCUGACGCUGAGAGGCGAAAGCCAGGGGAGCGAACGGG